GGAAGGGUGGCUGAGUGGACGAUAGCACCGGUCUUGAAAACCGGCGUGCCGCAAGGCACCGUGGGUUCGAAUCCCACCCCUUCCG
rnacentral:tRNA from 1 species